CCUGGUUGAUCCUGCCAGUAGUCAUAUGCUUGUCUCAAAGAUUAAGCCAUGCAUGUCUAAGUAUAAGCACUUGUACUGUGAAACUGCGAAUGGCUCAUUAAAUCAGUUAUCGUUUAUUUGAUUGUACCUUACUACAUGGAUACCUGUGGUAAUUCUAGAGCUAAUACAUGCGAAAGAUCCCGACUUCACGGAAGGGAUGUAUUUAUUAGACUAAAAACCAAUGCGGGCCUCGGUCCGCUUGCUUGGUGAUUCAUGAUAACUUUUCGAAUCGCAUGGCCUUGCGCCGGCGAUGUUUCAUUCAAAUUUCUGCCCUAUCAACUGUCGAUGGUAAGGUAGUGGCUUACCAUGGUUGCAACGGGUGACGGAGAAUUAGGGUUCGAUUCCGGAGAGGGAGCCUGAGAAACGGCUACCACAUCUAAGGAAGGCAGCAGGCACGAAAAUUACCCAAUCCCGAUUCGGGGAGGUAGUGACAAGAAAUAACGGUACGGGGCCUUUAUAGGUCUCGCAAUCGGAAUGAGAACAAUUUAAAUCCUUUAACGAGGAUCAAUUGGAGGGCAAGUCUGGUGCCAGCAGCCGCGGUAAUUCCAGCUCCAAUAGCGUAUAUUAAAGUUGUUGCAGUUAAAAAGCUCGUAGUUGGAUUUCGGAGCGGGCCCGUUGGUCCACCGCAAGGUGAGCUACUGGCGGGUCUGUUCUUCUUCGCAAAGACUGCAGGUGCACUUCGCUGUGUGCUUGUCGGAUUUGUGACGUUUACUUUGAAAAAAUUAGAGUGUUCAAAGCAGGCUUUCGCUUGAAUACAUGAGCAUGGAAUAAUGGAAUAGGACUUUGGUUCUAUUUUGUUGGUUUCUAGGACCGAAGUAAUGAUUAAGAGGGACAAACGGGGGCAUCUGUAUUUCGUUGUCAGAGGUGAAAUUCUUGGAUUUGCGAAAGACAAACAACUGCGAAAGCACUUGCCAAGAGUGUUUUCAUUAAUCAAGAACGAAAGUUAGAGGAUCGAAGACGAUCAGAUACCGUCCUAGUUCUAACCAUAAACGAUGU
rnacentral:rRNA from 1 species